AAUGUAACGCAGUGUGUAAAUGUGGUGUCUGUUAACGGUUCAAGCUGUAGAUUCUUUUCAUUCUUUACGCUUUCAUUACACCACCCUAAAUUAGCCCUUUUAAAUCACAGAGGUCUCUAGGUACCCAGUCUCCCAAAAGCCCUCAGAAGGCCCACAAGGGGUUAUCUAAACUGAAAUUGGCAGACCUGGUAGACAAAGUUAAUGGAACUCUCCAUUUUGGAGAAAGACCUAGGGAUGAUCAAACACUGAAGUCCUGUGGUCCUUAAGCAUCUGCUUGAAUGUAGUACUUCACAGAGGAAGGAAGGAAGGCAAUAACCUGAGACUUGGAGAAGAAGCAAAUAUAGGCGUGGCGGUGGCUCUGGACUUAUUGUACAAGGGCAGUUCUGAAGGGCGUCACAAAAUCCUAACCAACGUUUGGAGCACCCGCUCCUGGAUCAGAGACCGGGGUCCCAAACACCUUAAGAUGGAGACAGAAAAACAAGCCCUUUACCACACAACGGGCUCCUGGGCCCUUGCCCUUGCCCCACCCCAGCGUCAUCACCUCGUGGGCGCACAGCAAGCAGCUGUGUGGCCACACGCCCGGCACCGUCCAUCUGGCAGGCUGGGCUCCAAGCCUCCGAGCGCAGCACUUCCUGGUUGGUUCGGGAUGCUGGUCCCCUCGCGCCGCCAUCCCCGCCAUCCCACGGCGCACGAGAACCCCCGGGCGCGAGAGGACACGGGGGCACCAGCCCCACUGCCCCGGCGAGGCCCUUGGUGCACCCUGAGGGCACGCCCCCAGCCUCCCCUGGCGCCCGCGAGGCUCUGCGCUCCAGGCAGCGCCCGCCCUGGAAAAAGCACUGCCCGAAGUUUGUCCGCCUCUACUCUGCAAGAACUGGGCCCGAAGGCGCGCACAGGAGGCCCCGGGGCCUCCCGGGAGGCCGGUCCCGCGGGGCCGCCGGGCUCUGGCGCCCGCCGCCGACGCCUCUGCCAAGGUGCUCUUAAGCCACCAACUGCCCAGGCACCCGUUCCAGGAGCUUUGCCUGUGUUAUCAUACCCUCGCCUACUGGAGCCGGUAGCCACGAGUGGCCCUUUUGCAGCUGGAAACUGAGGGAAAGAUAUCAGAAGCACGAUUCACAAUAACUUCAAAGGAACAGCAGCAUGGGUUAUAUUACUGAGAUACCAAGCAGUGAUAUGUGUCCAGUUCAGCAAACCAGCUCUCCACGCCUGGGAUGGGAGGCGACCGGAGAGAGAGUAGGUACAAGACCAACAACUUGAGCUGCCUGCAGGCUCGGGAAGAUCUGCAAACACCAGUUCCCUAGCCCAAAGCUACCAUGACGUUAGGCAUCCUUAAUGAAGACGCCACACCUGGAACAAGUGGCAAAGCUGGAUUGAAGAGGAGUUUGGCACAACCUCUGCCAUUCUUUCCUGAGCAAAGACCGCUGGAUCACCCUAGUGAGUUUCCUAGUGAAGCACAGCUCUGUCUGAUCGGGGUCAACUACAAAAGGUCUCUGACUCGUGCCACAACUUUCCUUCCUUCCCACUUCUCAAUGUGCCUGAAGAGUGAAUCUUCCUUUGGUGGAAAGACAAUGUGUGCAUUUCAAUCCUAUUGACAUUUCCUUUUGCAAAUGACUCCAUAUCCCUUCGGAGACUUAGAAAACAUAGAUUUUUACAAGCGGAACGGAACUUUGCAUUUGUUCAGUGCCUUCAUUUGAGACUUUCUGAAUUCUUCAAAGUAUCGGUCCUCAGAACUCUCCUCACUCUACUCUGAUAGCCACAUGAGAAGCAGUUUUCCUAGGAUUUCUGAACUAGGUUAUUUAAAGGCCAUCAGCUGCCAGAAAGUAUGCAGCAAGAUCACAGUGCCUGAUGGACCGGGCUCUACCUGAAUCCCGGAAAACGUGGCUUGGCACCCUCCAGUGACUUAGUUAAUGGCAAACAACAGUGCUGUAUCCAGAAGCCUACCUGGAGACAGGCACUUGGGGAAAGGUGGGCAAGACGUCCCGUGCAGGUCCCAGUUUCCUCCUCUGUCAGAGAAGGGACUUGAUUGUACCAUCAUCACUCAAGCCUCUUAUGGGUUCAGUGGUCCUGAGAUUUCCAAACACCUGAUGGCCAAUUUCCGCUUAGAUAUCCUAAACUUCUGUAAGCCCGGCUUGUUCCCCAAAAACCAGCUCACCACCAAAGGCAGUGAUUUCUUCUCCAGACUUUCCUGGCUUCGAACUCGAUUUCAAACCCUAGAGUGACUUUUGAUUUCAACCCUUCCCUCCAAACUAGUGCUUCUUAAACUGUAAUGUGCAUAUGAA